rnacentral:lncRNA from 1 species
UGGUGGCUGGUCAUAAAGUCCAACGAUCAUCUCAGCAGUCACUACCUGCCCUCUGUGAAGAGCGUCCAUCCGGGCUUCCAUCAUGGACAUAUACAUGUCCCUCAUCUGGAAGGGCUCCGCGUGCUAAACUGGCACCUCAUUAGGCACCUGCUCCUGCUGAGCUGCAGCUCUCCUACGAUGCCGUCUGGGUGUUGCCCCUACAGCAUCAGCU